rnacentral:rRNA from 1 species
UACAGAGGAGCCAAGCGUUGCCCGGAUUGACUGGGCGUAAAGCGCACGCAGGCGGGGGUGCGCGUGGGGUGUGAAAUCUGGCCGCUUAACGGCCAGGCGCCAUCCCAUACGGCACGCCUGGAGCCUUGCAGAGGUCGGUGGAAUUGCCGGUGUAGUGGUGAAAUGCGUAGAGAUCGGCAGGAACACCCAGGGGGAAACCAGCCGACUGGGCAAGUGCUGACGCUGAGGUGCGAGAGCGUGGGGAGCGAACCGG